rnacentral:rRNA from 1 species
GUCUAUGGCCAUGCCACCCCCAAAAGUGCCGGAUCUCGUCAGAUCUUGGAAGCUAAGCAGGGUCGGGCCUGGUUAGCACUUGGAGGGGAGACUACCUAGGAAUACCAAGUACUGUAGGCA